rnacentral:rRNA from 1 species
GAACGGUGAAGCCCUUCGGGGUGGAUCAGUGGCGAACGGGUGAGUAACACGUGGGCAAUCUGCCCUGCACUCUGGGACAAGCCUUGGAAACGAGGUCUAAUACCGGUAUAUUACCCUUGACCGCAUGGUCUUGGGUGGAAAGCUCCGGCGGUGCAGGAUGAGCCCGCGGCCUAUCAGCUUGUUGGUGGGGUGAUGGCCUACCAAGGCGACGACGGGUAGCCGGCCUGAGAGGGCGACCGGCCACACUGGGACUGAGACACGGCCCAUACUCCUACGGGAGGCAGCAGUGGGGAAUAUUGCACAAUGGGCGAAAGCCUGAUGCAGCGACGCCGCGUGAGGGAUGAAGGCCUUCGGGUUGUAAACCUCUUUCAGCAGGGAAGAAGCGCAAGUGACGGUACCUGCAGAAGAAGCACCGGCUAACUACGUGCCAGCAGCCGCGGUAAU